rnacentral:rRNA from 1 species
AACCGCAAGGAGGGCGACUUACCCACGGGCGAGGGUUCGUGACUGGGGGUG